rnacentral:rRNA from 1 species
UGGGGAAUAUCGGACAAUGGAGGCAACUCUGAUCCAGCAAUGCCGCGUGUGUGAUGAAGGCCCUAGGGUUGUAAAGCACUUUCAACGGUGAAGAUGAUGACGGUAGCCGUAGAAGAAGCCCCGGCUAACUUCGGUGCCAGCAGCCGCGGUAAUACGAAGGGGGCGAGCGUUAUUCGGAAUUAUUGGGCGUAAAGGGCUCGCAGGCUGCUUGAACAGUUAGACGUGAAAUCCCCGGGCUCAACCUGGGAACUGCGUUUAAUACUAGCAAGCUAGAGAAAUAGAGAGGAAAGUGGAACUCCCAGUGUAGAGGUGAAAUUCGUAGAUAUUGGGAAGAACACCAGUGGCGAAAGCGACUUUCUGGCUAUUUUCUGACGCUGAGGAGCGAAAGCGUGGGGAGCAAACAGGAUUAGAUACCCUGGUAGUCCACGCCGUAAACGAUGUGUGCUAGAUGUUGGAGGGAUACCUUUCAGUGUCGCAGCUAACGCACUAAGCACACCGCCUGGGAAGUACGGUCGCAAGAUUA